rnacentral:rRNA from 1 species
CUACGUGCCAGCAGCCGCGGUAAUACGUAUGUCGCGAGCGUUAUCCGGAAUUAUUGGGCAUAAAGGGCAUCUAGGCGGCCGGGUAAGUCCGGGGUGAAAACUGCUGGCUCAACCAGCAGCCUGCCUUGGAAACUAUCCGGCUGGAGUGCUGGAGAGGUGGACGGAACUGCACGAGUAGAGGUGAAAUUCGUAGAUAUGUGCAGGAAUGCCGAUGAUGAAGAUAGUUCACUGGACGGCAACUGACGCUGAAGUGCGAAAGCUAGGGGAGCGAACAGGAUUAGAUACCCUGGUAGUCCUAGCUGUAAACGAUGAUUACUGGGUGUGGGCAUGAAGAGUGUCCGUGCCGAAGCUAAUGCGAUAAGUAAUCCGCCUGGGGAGUACGGCCGCAAGGCUGAAACUCAAAGGAAUUGACGGGGACCCGCACAAGCGGUGGAGCAUGUGGUUUAAUUCGACGCAACGCGAGGAACCUUACCAGAUCUUGACAUCC